CAGGACUCGCAAGACUCCCGUAAACCACUGUGAACUUACCUACAACCCGUUGCCUCGGCGGGUGCUCCGGGCGCGUCUUCGGGCGCUCCGGGGCGCUCCAGCCCGCCGGCGGCCCCUAAACUCUGUCUCUGUAGCGUUGGCACCUCCGAGCAGACUAUAAACGAGUCA
rnacentral:misc_RNA from 1 species